rnacentral:rRNA from 1 species
AGAGUUUGAUCAUGGCUCAGGAUGAACGCUGGCGGCGUGCGUAACACAUGCAAGUUGAGCGACGACGCGUCUGAAGUGGCAACAUGGAAGGUGCGAGCGGAGCAGCGGACGGGUGAGUAUAACAUGAGAAGCUGUCCUCUGGUGGGGGGCAACGUCUAGAAAUGGACGCUAAUACCCCAUAGGCCGAAAGGUUAAAGCAGCAAUGUGCCAGAGGAGGUGCUCGUGCCCUAUCAGCUAGUUGGUGAGGUAAUGGCUCACCAAGGCGACGACGGGUAGCCGGCCUGAGAGGGUGUCCGGCCACACUGGGACUGAGAUACGGCCCAGACUCCUACGGGAGGCAGCAGUGGGGAAUAUUGGGCAAUGGGAGAAAUCCUGACCCAGCGACGCCGCGUGAACGAAGAAGGCCUUCGGGUCGUAAAGUUCUUUUAUGCGGGAAGAAGAAAGUGACGGUACCGCAUGAAUAAGCCCCGGCUAACUACGUGCCAGCAGCCGCGGUAAUACGUAGGGGGCGAGCGUUGUCCGGAAUUACUGGGCGUAAAGGGCACGCAGGCGGUGUGUCAAGUCAGCUGUAAAAGGAUGCGGCUUAACCGUAUUGUGCAGUUGAGACUGACGUACUGGAGUACUAGAGAGGUAAGUGGAAUUCCCAGUGUAGCGGUGAAAUGCGUAGAUAUUGGGAAGAACAUCGGUGGCGAAGGCGACUUGCUGGCCAGUAACUGACGCUGAGGUGCGAAAGCCAGGGUAGCAAACGGGAUUAGAUACCCCGGUAGUCCUGGCCGUAAACGAUGAGCACUAGGUGUCGGGAACGAAGAUUCUCGGUGCCGCAGUUAACGCAUUAAGUGCUCCGCCUGGGGAGUACGCACGCAAGUGUAAAACUCAAAGGAAUUGACGGGGACCCGCACAAGCAGCGGAGCAUGUGGUUUAAUUCGAAGCAACGCGAAGAACCUUACCAGGUCUUGACAUCCUCUUGAAACUCUGGGUAAUGCCGGAGCCUCUACGGACAAGAGAGACAGGUGGUGCAUGGUUGUCGUCAGCUCGUGUCGUGAGAUGUUGGGUUAAGUCCCGGCGAGUGAGCGCAACCCUCGCCUCUAGUUGCCAGCGAUUCGGUCGGGCACUCUAGAGGGACUGCCGGGGACAACUCGGAGGAAGGUGGGGAUGACGUCAAAUCAUCAUGCCCCUUAUGAUCUGGGCUACACACGUGCUACAAUGGCCGGUACAACAGGAAGCGAUAUUGUGAGAUGGAGCGAAACCCAAAAGCCGGUCCCAGUUCGGACUGCAGGCUGCAACCCGCCUGCACGAAGUCGGAGUUGCUAGUAAUCGCGGAUCAGAAUGCCGCGGUGAAUGCGUUCCCGGGUCUUGUACACACCGCCCGUCACACCAUGGAAGUUGGGGGUGCCCGAAGUUGGUUAAUAAAUCUACUACCUAAGGCAAAACCAAUGACUGGGGUGAAGUCGUAACAAGGUAACCGUA